UACGAAGGGGGCGAGCGUUGUUCGGAUUUACUGGGCGUAAAGGGCUCGUAGGCGGCCAACUAAGUCGGACGUGAAAUCCCUCGGCUUAACCGGGGAACUGCGUCCGAUACUGGAUGGCUUGAGUUUGGGAGAGGGAUGCGGAAUUCCAGGUGUAGCGGUGAAAUGCGUAGAUAUCUGGAGGAACACCGGUGGCGAAGGCGGCAUCCUGGACCAACACUGACGCUGAGUGAGCGAAAGCCAGGGGAGCAAACGGG
rnacentral:rRNA from 1 species